UUUAACCAUUUUGAGAAAAGUGGCGCCGCGUUCCUCGGAAAGCUCCCACGGUCCGAAAGGCGCUGUGUUCAACGCGAAUAUAUAUAUAUGUAUAUAUAUAUAUAUAUAUAUAUUUGUAUGUGUUUUUAUUUAUAUCUAAGAGCAAAACCCGGCUGCGUCAGCGGCGAGGGCUCAAACCCCGAUGCUUCCAAGGGGAGGUUGUUUUUUUAUGUUUUUUCUGUCUCCUUUAGUAAACCAAAAAAAGGGGUGGCGGGGGGGGGAGAGAGAGAUAUUAAUGGCUUAAUCGCUUUUAUGUGGCUUUAAAAGCAUAUUUUAUAAAUGUUUAAUGCCUUCACGCCCGGACCUCCCCGCCGCCGUUCCCGGGCCGGGGGGUUGGCAUGUCAUAAAUCAGGGAAAUGCUAAUAAAAAACCUCGGGCGUGGCGGGGGGGGGUCGCUCCCCUUCCCCCACCCCCCCUGCAGCUCCAGCCCUUCUUCCUCCUCCUUCUCCUCCUCCUCCUCCUCCUCCUCCCCCGGCCGGGAGCCAUCUUGUACAGCAGCUCCGGGCUGGGGCAGCGCUGCUGCAAAACACCAAGCCUCCCCCCUCCUAAAGAAAAAAGCCCCCCAAUAUAUCUAUAUAAAUAUAAAUUUUUAUUAUUAUUAUAAUUUUUCCCUCCGAGGCGCGGUGCUGCGGCUGCCCUGGGGACGGGCACCAUUUUCCCACCAUUUUCCAUAUUAAUACACCCCCCCCUUUUUCUUUUCCCCGAGCGGGGGGACCCCUCUCGCCGCACCGCAGUGGGGGGGUGGGGACCGGGCUGGAGCCGCGAAGCUCCCGGGGAAUUUAGGGGGUGGAGGCCGCUCUUAUAUUUUCUCCGCGAAGCUUUACCGAAAAUACUAAAAAUACCGAUUUCUAUUUGAAAAAAUAUUGCGGGGGGUGGGGGGUGUCCCAGGAACAGCCGCCGUGUGCGUCCCCCCCCUCUCCCGGUGCCGCUGCCCCGGGCUCCCCGCAGGUUCCCACGGUGCCGCCCGCCCCUGGGCCGCCCCCCGCCCGCCCUGCGCGCCCGCUCCGUCUGCCUCUCUCUUCCUUUCCCUUUAUUUUUCUUUAUUUUUCUUUAUUUUCUCUCUUUUUCUCCCGUUUUCCUCUUUUUUUCCCUCAUUUUCCUUUUUAAAACGUUUUUUAUAUUUUCUUUACCCCCUUUUUUUCCCCUCCCGGUGGAGCCGUGCGGAGCUCGCAGCCCCCAGCCCCACACCGGGCAUUUCCCCCCGCGGGGAUACAGGUUGUUGCACUGCAUGUGCUGUCAUUGCAAGUAACUCAACCCCCCCCUGAACCUGCUAGCAGAAAAGAAGACAGGAUGCAAAACCUGUUCCCAAAAAUACCCUGAAGAAGCAAGCAGCAACCUGCCCGCGAGGAAACGGGUCCUGAGGGCUGAAUCCAGCCUGCAGCUGCCAGCGAAAGCACAUGCUGGGUGUCACAGGGAUGGGAAUAGCCCAGUGUGACGAACACGGAGUAAAUCAAAGUCAUUAACGGUCAGGGCCGGAGGGGCUGCCAGCCAUGGCCUCCCCGCAGCCACCAGGCUGGAGGCUCCUAUCCUGCUCCCUUUGGGGUCCCCAUCCCCAGCAUCCCCCUCCAUCACCUCGCAGCCCGGGAUCCGGGACCACCCUACGGAGAAGGUGAACGCUCGGCAGGGGUGAGACCCUCGGGAAAAGGUUGCGGUGGGAGUUUUCCCCGUGCCCAGGAAGCUGCUGGCUCCUCACAUCCCCUGUUGGUGUUUGAUGCACCCACCAAACCAUCCCACCUGCCUGGGGUCCCUGCCGCAGCCUACGCCAGGUACCAAACCGCUGAUGCAAAAGCACACAGGAUGGAUUCAGUGGGGUAAAAUGGGAUGAAACAUCCGCGGUUCCAAGCCCUCGAGCAUCUUGUUAGACCCAGUGUUUCCUCUCACCCUGAACACCAGCCCAAGGAGGGGGUGUCCGUGGUGGCCCCCAGCACUGUCCUCUCGCUUUUCCCAUCACCUCAACCCAGCCCCGAGUGGAGCUGGGGGGGAAGGCGCAGCUGGACAAGACAAGCCCUUUCUGCUCCACAAAGCUCAUCAGCCAGCAGCACUGGGCUUAUAAUUAUUAUUUCUUUAAAGACAAGCUGAGCGGCUAUAGAAAAAAAAAAGCCCCCUCUUGUCGGAGUUGGAAUUUGAUGUCCUAACGACUGUUUUUGUACCAUGCCUGUUAGAGGAAAGAGCUCGGCAGGAGGGGGAAAGAGACAUUUAAUUAUAGAGCUGCAUUGUGAUUUUGCACACAUAGCUGGCUGUUGUAAUCAGGUUACAAGUGUAUCUGAUUUUCUUCCCUCCCCUCCCUCUUCCUCCUCUUUCUUUUCUUUCCUUGUCUUUCCCCCCACACACUCCUUUUUCCUUUCGGUGGCCCAAAUUAGUUGCUUAUGUUUGGGUGUUGCAGAGACAAGCUGUUAUUUGGCUUUGCCCAAGAUCUUGAUGAAGGGAAGAAUGUUUCUGAAGGGCCUCGGCAGCUCUUUGCCAGAGAAAGCUGCUGGUUCCCAGCUCCGGAGAAACCCCCUGGUCGUGUCGAGCAUCCGCAUCCCACCAUCCCGGGGGUCCCCUCCACCUCCCCAAUAAGAGGGGACGCACUUAUACAUCUGCCCCUUCCAUGGUCCCCACCACAUUCCUGCAGAUGCAGGAUUCCCUCAAUAAAUGGAAGCUUUUGAAGAAGAGGAGAAGCCCUAUUUACCUCCAUUGGGGUGGGAGGAGGAAAAUGAAAAGAGGAGAAAAGAGUGUUUUUAAAAGCAACUUUAUAUCUUUCUAUCUGAGGCAACUGAUGCUCUUGGAUUUGGGACUGUUGUUGGGUUCAUUUAGGAAUCUAUUGUUGUCUAUGUGAAUUCUUUUUUACAUUUCAAAUAACAGGAUUAUUUCCACAGGGGGUAAUAUCCUGUAAUUUGAACACAAUAAUGGGAAUAAAUUACUUACUUAGAACUAAUAACGACAGCCUGAUUCCAAUAUAUAUAGGAACUGUAACAGCUUUGGUUAGUUAAAGUGUAAUUGUGUCGACGGAUGACAUUUUCUUUCAAAGGAAUCUGAAUGACUUUUAAUUAAAUUUGCUGGGGGUGGGGAAGAGAAGGAGAGAUACGCUGGGAGAUCUUGGCUGCUGGGGCUGCUGGUGGGUCCCGGCCAUGGCACCCAAACCAGGAAUCACCCCAAACCAGGUAUCACCCCAAACCGGGGAUCACCCCAAACCAAGGAUCACCCCGUGGUUGCAGAAUUUCUGGACCAAGCACAUACAGGGGACAAAGAAACCAUAACUGAGCCCCACAGUAACAUAGAAUCAUUUUGGUUGUAAAAGACCCUCAAGAUCAUCGAGUCUACCCGUUCCCCCACCCCUGGCACUGCCCCAUGUCCCUGAGAACCUCAUCUCUGUCUGUUCAACCCUCCAGGGAUGGUGACUCCAGCACUGCCCUGGGCAGCCUGUUCCAAUGCCCCACAGCCCUUUGGGGAAGAAAUUGUUCCCCAGAUCCAACCUCAACCUCCCCUGGCGCAACUUGAGGCCGUUUCCUCUGCUCCUGGCGCUUGUUCCUGGGGAGCAGAGCCCGACCCCCCUGGCUCCAAGCUCCUUUCAGGCAGUUCAGAGAUCAGAAGGUCUCCCCUCAGCUCCUGUUCUCCAGCUGAACCCCCAGGUCCCUCAGCCGCUCCAUCACACUUGUGCUCCAGCUCCUCACCAGCUCCGUUCCCUUCUCUCAACUCUCUCCAGCACUUUGGUUGUAGAGCGAGGAGCAGGGACAGCUUCUCUCACCCCAGUUUGCCCAGUUUAGCAUCCCUAGGGUGCCACAUGGCCACUGUUCAGAUCACGCUGCUCCAGCCACCACUGGGCCACCCUUGGCCACGAGCAUGGAUGCUGCGUUUUGGCCAUCGCCAUGGGGAUGCUGCGCUGAGAACACCCCAGGGCAUCCACCCUGUCCCCUGUCUCAGCUCUCCAGUGUCACCUCUGCUGCUGCUGCUCCAGGUAGGCAAGAAGGGAUGUGGGAUGGAGAGAGGAAGGGGACAGAGGGAUGGAAGGAUGAAGAACCCCAGCCCAUUUCCCCAGCUUUGCACCUCUCCCCACCGCUGGCUCCACUGUCAACCACUUCUCAGGUUUAUUUUUGAACCAGAAGCACGCGAGGUUCCCUUUGGAAGCCAAAAAAACAGCAGCAUCUUUCAGCGGCGGCACACACAGAAAGCCAAGUUCCUGCCCCAAAAUAUCUGCACGAGGAGCGUUGUGCCGCUGCCAGCCGCUCCAGCCUCCUCCAGGACUCAUUUUCCUCUGUUUAUCUUGAAAAUAUUUCUGCGCUGAGAUCCCACCCCGCGCGGCGGAGCCCUGCGAGGCCGCCUCCAGCCUGACACACGGCCUCUUGUUUAUCCACAGCGAGUUUUACAAAUAGCUUAUUAAUCCCAGAGGUCUGUUUGCCACGGGAAAACCUCGCGGAGCAGCUCCUGCAGCCCCCCCAGCCCCUCGGACACGCAGCGAGCGGCUGCAGACGUCAGCGUUUGCCAGGUUUUGGAGUCGCUCACGGGCACAGCGUGGGGACACCUGGCACUGCUGGCUCUGGUUCAGGUGAUCCUACAGUGGCAGCUGCGGGGGAGCUUGUUUUUUCUUGCAAGACCCCCACCAAGCAAAGGCUGCUGGUUUUGGGGGGUCUGCAGGGGUUUGGGUUGUGGGGAGGACACCUUUCAGGGCUCGCUGGAUUAGUUGUGGUUUGGGAGUUGCUGGAAACAUGCCUGAACGUGCGAGAGAUGAGGACAGUGGGACACGGUGUACAGCGGUCCUGGUGGGACAGUGCCUCAGUUUCCCCACCUGGCCCCAGGGCCCCCAGGAUGGAGCUGGAGGGUUUCAGCCCAGAGAACACAGCAUCAGGGGGCUCGAGCCCAACCAUGGACACUCCCCUGGCCACAGGGUCUGGCAAACCUGUCCCUGCUGCCACCUCUGUCCUCAGCAAGAGGGACAGGAGCCCGGCUGUGACCCCUCCCUGUCCCCACUGCCCAGCGCUGCACUCAGCACCGACCUUGUGGUCCCCCCGAGCAUCCCCUCCCUGAGACCCCCAGAAAGCACCUCUCUGGGAGCACCCACCCCCGCAAACCCCGUAACACAGAAACAUUCAUAACCUGGCCGAUGGGAUUAAAUUACCUGCCCCUGGAAAAAUAAAGGAAGCAUUCAGCCAUU